UACGUACUGUGCGAACGUUAUUCGGAAUCACUGGGCUUAAAGGGUGCGUAGGCGGCCGUUUAAGUAGGGUGUGAAAUGCCAGAGCUCAACUUUGGCAUUGCGCUCUAGACUGAAUGGCUUGAGUGAGAUAGGGGUGUGCGGAACUUCCAGUGGAGCGGUGAAAUGUGUUGAUAUUGGAAGGAACGCCGGUGGCGAAAGCGGCACACUGGGUCUUAACUGACGCUGAGGCACGAAAGCCAGGGGAGCGAACGGG
rnacentral:rRNA from 2 species